CUGUCUAGGGGACAGCUGCUCUGCUUUUGCACCCUGCUCUAGGAGGAGGAGGUGGAUGUGAAGUAGGAGGUUGAGGAAGCAGUGACCGUGGCCGCAACGACGCAUUCGGAUGUCUGCCUUAUCAACUUUCAAUGUUACUUUCUGUGCCUACCAUGGUGACCACGGAUAACAGGGAAUCAGUGUUCGAUUCCGGAGAGCCAGCCUGAGAAACGGCUACCACAUACAAGGAACGCAGCAGGCGCGCAAAUUACCCACUCCCGACGCGGGGUGGUAGUGACGAUAAAUAACAAUACAGGACUCUUUCCAGGCCCUGUAAUUGUAAUGAGUCCACUUUAAAUCCUUUAACAAGGAUCUAUUGGAGGGCAAGUCUGGUGCAGAGCGACUGCUAUCGCCUGCUGCUG
rnacentral:rRNA from 1 species